ACGGAGGGGGCAGGCCGGUAAUGCAACUGUCUGUAAAACAGUUUUAUAGGGGUUCAACUCCCCUCCUCCGUA
rnacentral:tRNA from 1 species